AGCCCCAAUAGCCCCAUUUUCCCCUUCCAGGACCCUUAUAACCCAAUUAACCCACCCCAAUAGCCCUUUUACCCUUCCAGGACCCUUAUAACCCACCCCAAUAGCCCUUUACCCUUCCAGGACCUUCCCAACCCACCCCAUCUAUUCAUCUCAUGCCCCUUUACCCUUCCAGGACCUUUCCAACCCAACUCAACCCAUUCACCCCCUGUUCCUUUCCCCUUCCAGGACCCUUAUAACCCAUUCAAUGCCCCUUUAACCUUCCAGGACCCUUCCAACCCACCCACCCCAACCCAUUCAAUGCCCCUUUCCCCCACCCACCCCAACCCAUUCAAAGCCCCUUUCCCCUUCCAGGACCCUCCCAUUCACUUAAUGCCCCAUUUUCCCCUUCCAGGACCUUUAUAACCCACCCCAAUAGCCCUUUACCCUUCCAGGACCUUCCCAACCCACCCCAAUAACCCCAAUAGCCCCAUUUUCCCCUUCCAGGACCUUCCCAACCCAACCCAAAGCCCCUUUCCCCUUCCAGGACCCUUAUAACCCAUUCAAAGCCCCUAUUUCCCCUUCCAGGACCCUUAUAACCCAUUCAAAGCCCCUUUACCCUUCCAGGACCUUCCCAACCCAACCACCCCAUAGUUCUUUACCCUUCCAGGACCCUCCCAACCGACCCCAUAGUUCUAUGACCUUCCAGGACCUUUCCAACCCAACCCAUUCACCCUAUGAGUCUUUACCCUUCCAGGACCUUCCCAACACAACCCACCCCAACCCAUUCAAAGCCCCUUUAACCUUCCAGGACCCUCCCAUUCAUUUAAAGCCCCUUUACCCUUCCAGGACCCUCCCAACCCACCCCAACCCAUUCACCCCAUGGUUCUUUCCCCUUCCAGGACCUUCCCAUCCCAUUCAAAGUCCCUUUUUCCCCUUCCAGGACCUUUAUAACCCAAUUAACCCACCCAAUGCCCCUUUACCCUUCCAGGACCCUCCCAACCCAACCACCCCAAAGCCCCUUUAACCUUCCAGGACCCUUCUAACCCAAUUAACCUACCCCAAAGCCCCUU
rnacentral:lncRNA from 1 species